UAACAGGAUUCCCCUAGUAACUGCGAGUGAAGCGGGAAAAGCUCAAAUUUAAAAUCUGGCGGUCUUUGGCCGUCCGAGUUGUAGUCUGGAGAAGUGCUUUCCGCGCUGGACCGUGUAUAAGUCUCUUGGAACAGAGCGUCAUAGAGGGUGAGAAUCCCGUCUUUGACACGGACUACCAGUGCUUUGUGAUGCGCUCUCAAAGAGUCGAGUUGUUUGGGAAUGCAGCUCAAAAUGGGUGGUGAAUUCCAUCUAAAGCUAAAUAUUGGCGAGAGACCGAUAGCGAACAAGUACCGUGAGGGAAAGAUGAAAAGCACUUUGGAAAGAGAGUUAAACAGUACGUGAAAUUGCUGAAAGGGAAACGCUUGAAGUCAGUCGCGUCUGCCGGAACUCAGCCUUCCUUUUGGUUGGUGCACUUUCCGGUAGACGGGCCAGCAUCGAUUUCGACCGUCGGAUAAGGGCUGGGGAAAUGUGGCACCUUCGGGUGUGUUAUAGUCCUCAGUCGCAUACGGCGGUUGGGAUCGAGGAACGCAGCGCGCCGCAAGGCAGGGGUUCGCCCACUUUCGCGCUUAGGAUGCUGGCAUAAUGGCUUUAAACGACCCGUCUUGAAACACGGACCAAGGAGUCUAACAAACCUGCGAGUGUUUGGGUGGAAAACCCGAGCGCGUAAUGAAAGUGAAAGUUGAGACCUCUGUCGUGGAGGGCAUCGACGCCCGGACCUGACGUUCUCUGACGGAUCCGCGGUAGAGCAUGUUUGUUGGGACCCGAAAGAUGGUGAACUAUGCCUGAAUAGGGUGAAGCCAGAGGAAACUCUGGUGGAGGCUCGUAGCGAUUCUGACGUGCAAAUCGAUCGUCAAAUUUGGG
rnacentral:rRNA from 1 species